GUGACAUUUCCAGAUGGAUUUUGGAGCCAACAGCCUCUGAGCACAGGCCAACAGCGCCCUCUGGUGUGCAUCCUGGGAAUGCAGCUGGCUUCGUGAGCCCUCCCCCUCUUGGUCUGACGGAUAGGUCAAGGAUCAGCUUCUGAGCUUCCCUUGAAGACCCAUACCUGCCCCCAUGGCAGAUCAGAUGAAUCCAGCCCGGUCCCCAAGCCGUGUGACCCAGGCCUGGCCAAUCCACACGUCCCAUCCACCUGUGUGCAGUGAUGGUGCAGGGAUGGACACAUGACCCAGCUGGACCCUAAGGACUCCAUUUUGGAACCCUCGUUUGCACCAAUGAGGAAGAGCCUCCUGGGAAGAGGGGAUGGAAGUCCAACACUUUUGCUGCCAUCUUACCAGAGUAGAGAUCCAAGAUGGGAAACCAUUGCUGAGAGAUGGAAAGAGGCUGAGCCAGAAUGGCAUUGCAUCAGCCCCUGGAUCCAGCCAGGCCUGAAGCUGGACAGCCCUGGACAUUUCAUCUGCAUGAGCCCAUCCUUUCUGUGUUUAAGCUGGCUUGACUUGGCUUUGCAUCACUUGCAACUCAAAGAAUCCUGCCUAAUGUGGUAAGUAAAAAAAAUUAAGCAAAACUUCUCUCUCUGAUUCCUUUGACAGGAAUUUUCAAACUGUGAUCGAUUUGAAACGGUUUGUUUUCAAAAUGCUUCCACGGGUGUGGGUUUAGUUGAGCCAGAGUUCAACAGGAGCCACAAGGGGCAGGGGUGAGGUGGAAAUGGGGGCACCCCCAACAGUACCAGGCUUCGGUUGUGCCAGAAGCUGAUGUUGAUCGGCUCACUGAGGUUAUUCACGUGUCCGUGACUCAGCUGGGCUCCCAGGACAUAGUUAUUGAGCAAAGAUGAGUUGAUACUCUGGAAGGACAGCAGAAGGGCUGACUGGAGUUAGGAUGGAUGCAUGGAGACCCCGGCUGAGGUCCGAGAGCCCCCCUUCACCAGCCCCUUCCCCCGGGUGAGCACAGCAGUGUGCCUUCACAUGUGGGCCAGCCUCCUAGCCUUUGCGUAUGCUGUCCCCUCCACCUGGAAAGCUGUCCCUUCAGCACUCACCCCCCACCUCUCCCCCAUGGAUUCAGUGCAUUCCAGCCUCCAUCUGUCCUCGCUCACUUUCAAAGCCAAAGUUAAAAACACCUUUGUCUGUCUCCCAUCUAGGGACAGACACAUCCAUGGUAGAUUUCUUGUAAUUGCACCCCCAACACCAUUCUCCUAAAACCAAGGCCCAGAAAGGACAGCGGCUGGCUCAGGUUGCACAAUGGGCUGGUCCCACCUGGUGCUGGUCCCUGUGCAGAGGCCAGGCGAUGGUACGGAUGCCCGCAGUGCCCGCAGGAAGGGGCCAGCACCUACCCUGCUUGGCCGCCGUGUGGCACUGACCUGGAAAAAGUAGUCAGUGAAGAAGUAAAUGCAGAUGAGGCGCAGCUCCCUGGGGCGGGUCCUGCAGGCAUUCUGGGUCAGCUCUGCCGGGAACUGCAUGGCGUGCGGCACCGAGGCCUACGGGCAGCCAUGGACGGGCUAAGCCACACCCGGCCCCAACGCUUCCACUGCUCCCCACUCCUUGUGAAGCCUUCCCAUCCUGUUCUUUCCCUGGGGCAUUUCAUCCCUAGGAGCCUCCACCUGCAGAGCCCUCUCCUCCCAGGCUGUACUUCCUCCCCAACUUCCUGAGAUCCCAGGCCCUUCCUCCAGGCUGCCCCUGCCUCGAUUUACCCCACCCAACUGGGGCCCCUGGGGAUGGAGCUCGUCAGCCCUCAGCGCCCAGACGGUCAGCAGGAAUCACACCAGAGUCUUCCAAGGACCCUGGCUUCCCUGGCCUCUCCCAUUGCCGCCUCCCCUCGGGGACCUGCAGAAGCAGGAAGAGGACAUUGCCCUUGAGGGGCCACAGAGCACCCUCUCUUUCCACCAUUCACGUGAGGAAUGUCAGCCCCAUUUUACAGAAGAGGCAACUCACAGCUAUUAGGGCAGACCAGAUUAGUUGGGGGAAAGUCCAGACCUGAAGCCCCUGGAGGAUUUCUAGGGUCGAGACCCUGGCUGCCCUCCAUCUCCUGGCCCCCUCUGACCUGGGGGACCCGCUCCAGAGUCGCACUGCUCAGUGCGAGGCCAGUGAAGUCACAGCCCAGCUUGAAGGCCAGUGUCUGGAUGCUGUGCGUCUGCAAGGUAAGGUUCUUGCCCUCGAAGCUGGUGUUCAACAGGCUGCACUCCAGGCCCCGGAUAAGCCUGAGGGUGAGAGAGCUGGCCAGGGUCUGGAGUGGGCGUGGGGGCAAGAGGGGCCCCAGACAGCCAAUAAGGGCAGGGCCUCCCCCAGCCCACAUCUGCUACCCCUACCUCCGGACCUUUGCACACACAGUGUCCCUGGCACACUCUUACCUCUCCACCCCACUCAUCCACAUCUCCUGAUUCAGGUCCAGGUCUUUGGACACCUCCUUCAGGAAGAUUUUUCUGGAUUUUUUCUGCUGACUGAGUGAAAUGCCACAUAGUCCCUGUGCUCCCCCUGGCCAGUCAUCAGCACCAUCCCCUCACCCAGAGCUGCGAGACCAUUAGAGAGCUCGGUCCAGCUUUGCAACUCCUUCCCAGGAAAAUGCAGAGACCCACGAUUCUGCACCCGAUUUCAUGGCAUCCAUAGUUAAAGGCCCUAAACCAGACAGCAAACUUGAUAAGGGCAGGGACAUAGUUAACCUGCAUCUUCCAAGCCUCGUGCUGGGCACACAGUAGGUACUCAAUAACUGAAUGUUGAAUAAAUGGAUUAAUGGUCUACACUGGACAACCCUGGACCACUGACUCAAGGCGCAAGCUGGGGGUGGGAGGCACAGCUGACUCAAGGGGGGCGGUGAGGGCCGCCCAACUCACCCACGAAGCGAAGUCACAUUGCGGCUCCUGGACAUCCUCUCCAGGUUCUCCAUCCAGCUCAGGGGUUCUUGGGACUCCUCUGCGGGGCAGGUCACGCCUCCACAUCAGCCUCUGUCCCCACAGCCUCUGGGCCCUUCUACCACAGCCUCAGCCUUGCUGCUGCCCCGGGAGACCUCAGUGCCCUCUUUCAAGCUCCUUUGGUUUGGGUCGUCCCCCUUUCACAUCACAGCCACGGGCCCGGGCUCAGAUUGCCCCCCAGUUCAGCAGCACCCCCUUACCCACUGUAUCACUGUGAGCAAUCAUGAGGCACAGGCAGAGGAAAAAGACCCUGUGGUCAUCCAUGUCCUGUUCCCAGUCUCUUCCAAAAACUAGUUUCCAACCUGGAAAAGAUGCAUGCCAUUGUCACCAUGGUAAAAGAGUGAGCUCUAACUUCUAGGUGUCCGGCAUGUCCCAAAGGUAGGACAUCUAGCAUUUUAUAUAUAUAUAUUUUAAAUGUUUAUGUAUUUUUGAGAGAGAGUGAAAGAGCACAAGCAAGGGAGGGGCAGAGAGAGAGGGGAACAGAGGGUCCAAAGCGGGCUCAAUGCUAACAGCAGAGAGCCUGAUGUGGGGCUUGAACUUGAGAACCAUGAGAUUACAACCUAAGCCGAAGGCCGAUGCUUAAUCGGCUAGCUACCCAGGCAUCCCAAGACAUGUAGCAUUUUAAUUAAUCCUCCUUACUCCUGCAUUUCACAAAUGAGGAAACUGAGGCUCAGAGAGCAAGUGGGCUUGCUCUGCUUUAGGCUCCCUGAGCCUGGUCUCUGCGACUCCAAGAAUCCCAGAUUGUUUGUUCAGAAAUGCCCAUCAUUACCAGCUUUGCCUGAGUCACUCUCCCUCCCAAAACAAUGGUCUGUCUGGGGGCUUCUCCAGGGCGCUGACUUCACCCAGGGGGAAGUUGCUUGGGAGCAAGCAACAGGUAACCCUGUUGAGCUGUGUCAUUAAUUCACUGUGUGACUUUGGGCAGGGGUCUGUCCCUCUCAGCCUUCAUUUUCUGUGGUUUUAAAAUAAACCAAUAAACGUCUGCUUAACUAUAGCAAAUCUAUGUCAACCCCCCAAAACUCCACUAAAAUGAGAGUGAGUGGAUAAACGGGCGCAAAGCCACAAAGACAGAAGAGGAAAGAAGUCAACAGCAGCUUCCAGAAGCCUGCAGCAGCCAGGUGACGAUGCUCUAAGCCAGGAGAAAACUCUUUGCUGAAGAACUGGCUAUUCCAAGAAAAGUAUCCUAUAGCUACUGAGGUUUUGAUGUUCCUCAGUGAUAUGGCCAGGACC